UACGGAAGGCAGCAGUGGGGAAUAUUGCACAAUGGGCGCAAGCCUGAUGCAGCCAUGCCGCGUGUAUGAAGAAGGCCUUCGGGUUGUAAAGUACUUUCAGUCGUGAGGAAGGUGUUAAGGUUAAUAACCUUAGCAAUUGACGUUAGCGACAGAAGAAGCACCGGCUAACUCCGUGCCAGCAGCCGCGGUAAUACGGAGGGUGCGAGCGUUAAUCGGAAUUACUGGGCGUAAAGGGCACGCAGGCGGUUAAUUAAGUUGGAUGUGAAAUCCCCGGGCUUAACCUGGGAAUGGCAUUCAAGACUGGUUAGCUAGAGUCUUGUAGAGGGGGUAGAAUUCCAUGUGUAGCGGUGAAAUGCGUAGAGAUGUGGAGGAAUACCGGUGGCGAAAGCGGCCCCUGGGACAAAGGACUGACGCUCAUGUGCGAAAGCGUGGGGAGCAAAC
rnacentral:rRNA from 1 species